rnacentral:sRNA from 1 species
GUCAGGCGUGGUGGUGCACACCUGUAAUCCCAGCAACUCAGGAGGCUGAGGCAGGAGGAUUGUGAGUUUGAAGCCAGCCUCAGCAACUUAAUGAGGCCCUAAACAAUUCAGUGAGACCCCGUCUUUA